AUGCUACUCCCUCCGUCCGAAAAUACUUGUCAUCAAAAUGGAUAAAAGAGGAUGUAUCUAGACGUGUUUUUAGUUCUAAAUACACUUCUUUUUGUUCAUUUUGAUGACAAGUAUUUCCGGACGGAGGGAGUACAAC
rfam:Triticum aestivum genome assembly, contig: Triticum_aestivum_CS42_TGACv1_scaffold_329179_4BS